rnacentral:rRNA from 1 species
UACGUAGGGUGCAAGCGUUGUCCGGAAUUAUUGGGCGUAAAGAGCUCGUAGGCGGUCUGUCACGUCGGCUGUGAAAACUCGGGGCUCAACCCCGAGCCUGCAGUCGAUACGGGCAGACUAGAGUCCGGCAGGGGAGACUGGAAUUCCUGGUGUAGCGGUGAAAUGCGCAGAUAUCAGGAGGAACACCGGUGGCGAAGGCGGGUCUCUGGGCCGGAACUGACGCUGAGGAGCGAAAGCGUGGGGAGCGAACGGG